AUGGAGGGGAGGGCGGGCAGGUUCCCGUCCGAGAUGGAGGGGAUGGUGCGCGGCUUCGUCGUCGGGACGUCCAGGCCCGAGAUGGACGGGAGGGAGGGUUCCCCGGCUGUUUUAGCUUCUUCGGCGGCAUCAGGCACCGCCGGCGGCGAGCCAUGGUCGCACCUCGACCCGCAGAGCGCUUCUUCCCCACCCCCUCCCGCGGCCCCUGCCGCCGGUCAAGACCCCGCGGCGGAUGAAGCCGUCGCUGCGGGGCUGCCGGGAGAUCUGGGAUCCUUGAUUGCUUCUAUGCUACCCUCAGCGUACGACCGAGGAGCACUGGAGGGAGUGUCUAGCUGCUGGCGCGCCGCCGUCAGGGAUUGCCCGGUACGGCCACUGCCCCUGAUCCUGAGCGCGGAUUUGCGUUUGACUGAUUGUUUCGGCGAGGGCAACAUCACCAGGAGUAUGCAUCCUAGACUCUCUCAGUCUUCGUCUGAUACAGCUACGGCACUCGGCUCUCUGAAGAAUUGGGUCAUUCUGGGGUUCGAACCAAAAUGGAAUCCUGAGGGGGAUUUGAUCGUCAGUCACCGGCAGUGUGUUCUUUUCCAGCCACUCAAAGGCAACUUGCGUUAUCUUCCUGAUCCUUCGGCAUCUGUGAAGAAUGGUCUGUCAGGAACCUGCAGGAUCACACAAGCUGAAGGCAUUCUAUUGUAUAGUCAGCCAGCUACUGAGUCAGGCAUGUUUCUGCAGAAGAUUGUUCUUAGUGACUCAUGCCUGGGGCCAGACUUCAGAGUGGCAGGAUUGGCAGCUUCCAGGGGCUCCCAUCACCUGGCCUUGUGCACAGCAGGUAUGGAUGCUUGGUGCGUGUGCACUGCGCCAUUCCUCACUCUUGGCUCCGACUUAGAAUUCAUGCAUGACAAGCUCUACAUCCUUGGCGGCCAUCAGGAGGACUUGUACCAGAUUGAGUUUGGUGCAGAAAUGGUCUGGUUCCCACAUGUAUGUGCGGCAAGAAGAUGCGUGACGAUGCACCUGCCUCAGGACGGCACGCACGAGCAGAGGAAUCUUGUCCGGUCGCGCAACGAUCUCCUCUUGGUCGUCAGAAGCUUCAACGAGAACUGGGAUCAGCUUGUCACUGUCAGCGUUUUCAAGUUGAACGUGCACAACUGGACAUGGACACAGGUGCAUGCCCUACAUGGACAGAGUCUGCUCAUCAGCAUGUCGAGCAGCGUGGCUAUAGAUUUUUCAGCCUACCAUGAGGUGGAGUACCGCAGGCUUGCCGAGCGCAUUUAUUUUCUGGAUCAGUUCUGCCCCGGGUUCCUGCCGGGGAGAGAUGAUCACUUCAGCUAUCGAGCUCAGUUCUAUGAUAUGCUCGAAGGACAGGUGACGGAGCUUCUGAUUGGGGCGCAGCCAGCCUCCCGGCGGCCAGGUUUCCCGAUGUGGUUCUCUCCUACGGAAUAG
rnacentral:rRNA from 1 species